rnacentral:rRNA from 1 species
GAAUGCUGACAUAAGUAACGAUAAAGCGGGUGAAAAGCCCGCUCGCCGGAAGACCAAGGGUUCCUGUCCAACGUUAAUCGGGGCAGGGUGAGUCGACCCCUAAGGCGAGGCCGAAAGGCGUAGUCGAUGGGAAACGGGUUAAUAUUCCCGUACUUGGUGUUACUGCGAAGGGGGGACGGAGAAGGCUAUGUUGGCCGGGCGACGGUUGUCCCGGUUUAAGCGUGUAGGUGUGUGUUCCAGGUAAAUCCGGUUCACUUUAACACUGAGGCGUGACGACGAGGCACUACGGUGCUGAAGCAACAAAUGCCCUGCUUCCAGGAAAAGCCUCUAAGCAUCAGGUAACACGAAAUCGUACCCCAAACCGACACAGGUGGUCAGGUAGAGAAUACCAAGGCGCUUGAGAGAACUCGGGUGAAGGAACUAGGCAAAAUGGUGCCGUAACUUCGGGAGAAGGCACGCUGACACGUAGGUGAAGUGAUUUACUCAUGGAGCUGAAGUCAGUCGAAGAUACCAGCUGGCUGCAACUGUUUAUUAAAAACACAGCACUGUGCAAACACGAAAGUGGACGUAUACGGUGUGACGCCUGCCCGGUGCCGGAAGGUUAAUUGAUGGGGUCAGCGUAAGCGAAGCUCCUGAUCGAAGCCCCGGUAAACGGCGGCCGUAACUAUAACGGUCCUAAGGUAGCGAAAUUCCUUGUCGGGUAAGUUCCGACCUGCACGAAUGGCGUAAUGAUGGCCAGGCUGUCUCCACCCGAGACUCAGUGAAAUUGAACUCGCUGUGAAGAUGCAGUGUACCCGCGGCAAGACGGAAAGACCCCGUGAACCUUUACUAUAGCUUGACACUGAACAUUGAGCCUUGAUGUGUAGGAUAGGUGGGAGGCUUUGAAGUGUGGACGCCAGUCUGCAUGGAGCCGACCUUGAAAUACCACCCUUUAAUGUUUGAUGUUCUAACGUGGACCCGUAAUCCGGGUUGCGGACAGUGUCUGGUGGGUAGUUUGACUGGGGCGGUCUCCUCCUAAAGAGUAACGGAGGAGCACGAAGGUUGGCUAAUCCUGGUCGGACAUCAGGAGGUUAGUGCAAUGGCAUAAGCCAGCUUGACUGCGAGCGUGACGGCGCGAGCAGGUGCGAAAGCAGGUCAUAGUGAUCCGGUGGUUCUGAAUGGAAGGGCCAUCGCUCAACGGAUAAAAGGUACUCCGGGGAUAACAGGCUGAUACCGCCCAAGAGUUCAUAUCGACGGCGGUGUUUGGCACCUCGAUGUCGGCUCAUCACAUCCUGGGGCUGAAGUAGGUCCCAAGGGUAUGGCUGUUCGCCAUUUAAAGUGGUACGCGAGCUGGGUUUAGAACGUCGUGAGACAGUUCGGUCCCUAUCUGCCGUGGGCGCUGGAGAACUGAGGGGGGCUGCUCCUAGUACGAGAGGACCGGAGUGGACGCAUCACUGGUGUUCGGGUUGUCAUGCCAAUGGCACUGCCCGGUAGCUAAAUGCGGAAGAGAUAAGUGCUGAAAGCAUCUAAGCACGAAACUUGCCCCGAGAUGAGUUCUCCCU